CAGAUUACUCAGAAAAGUGGUGAUCCCUCAAGAUACUCAUGGCUUUGGUGUCAUUGACCCUGCUCUGAGCAGGGAAUUGGAUCAGAUGAUCAGAGGUACCCUCCUGACUUAGCCGGUCUGCAAGUAGGUCAGCCACAACUUGUCUCCUGCAUAGGCUGAAGGCUAGAGCCAGCUAAUAAUGAAGGGCAGGGAAAAGGCAACGCUGGUUUAUUUGGAUAAAACCAGUUUGAUUUGUAUGAACCAGUUUUCACCCGGUGAUGUAUUUCAGCAUUAUUCAGCUGGCAUUAUUACAACGUUACCCUAUGUAUGUAUUUGCUUUGGAAGUCAGCCCUGUUGUGUAGGCUUAUUAUCUGACUUGUUAUAGUUUUGAGAGAUAAUCUUUUAAGCAGUUGCAUUGGGAGUUUAAGUAGAGUGACUGUUUUUCAAAUUGCUGAUUGCAUUAGUCUAAUACCCUGUUUUUCAGAGGGAAUUAUGACACCAGGUGCUUCAAAGCAGCCCAAAAGGCAAGAUAACAUGCUUCCAAAGAGACAACAGUUAAACUGUAGUUAGCAAAACCUGAAAAAUGGGUUCUUUAAAUUUUCGUGAAUGGAAAGCAUUGGUUUGGGAGUCAUUUCUUUCUGUCUUGUCGCGCUUUUUCUUUAAAUCCAUGGGCUGCUGAUCUGGGUGUUCCCUCCUCUAACAUUCAUUUCUGCUGGAGGGAUCUCCCACAUCAUUGCUUUUCAGUUCUGAAGGGAUGGAGCUCUAACUUCCUCAUCCCCUAAUAUACUUCCUGGGUCUUGUGCAACUAGAAAAGAGCUUGCAGACAGGAUGGUAUUGGUGUUCAGCUGUCACUGCCUAAACAAGCGUUUUCCCUCCCACCUCUAAAGCCAUUACAGUUGUCUUCCAUUUGUUUUGGCAACAGGAUGGGUUAGUCAGCGUACUCAACAAGCACCCACAUUUCCUAUGCUAUUUCAUGAACAGCUUCAGGAGUUUUGAGUGAUUCACUUAAGCUACUUCUAUGCUAAGCUUUCUGAUAACACCAGUCCUAUCUGUCUUUCUUGCGUAUGUUGUCUUGCAGGUGAACACAUUACUGAAAACCUGCCAUAGAGCUUACUGUUUGAUAGAGAGGAACUCAGGAUUCAGGAAUUGUUUGUCAUUGCAUUUUAUGAGCACAGACAUCCCUUCUGUAUUACUAUUCUCUGUCCAACAACAGGAGUCAGUUUACAGUUGAGAGUAUACAUAACACAGAUGUUAAUGCCCUCCCCUGCAUGAUGUUUCAGCAUCAACAUCACUUUCUUCCACAAAUACUAAAGCCAAGUGCUGCCCCGUUAUGAAGGAAGAUUACUUGAAAAACUGUAAAUGGCUUCAAUCUUUAUCUGCUUAUAACUAGAAUCUAAUAAGUCUUCUGUGGACAGCAUUUUCUGGAAAUGAAUGUGCCAGAGCUGCUUGCCAACCUUGAUUGAUUUUUUUAGGAAGAAUUGAUUCUUCAUAUGUACAAUUCUGAAGAACUCUUCAGCAGAAGAAACAGCUUUAACAAGAAGAAAAGCUUCUAGAGCUCUCGCAGAACAAAUACUGGAGGCAUCAGAUAAAGUUUGAUUUCUGAGAAAUAAGGAAAAAAGAGAAGCUUCUGCCUCUUGCAACAGCUGCUGUUUGUUGCUCUCCCCAGGCAAGAGAUGUUGUCCAGCAAAGAGGGAUUUGUUUUCAGCAGUCCAGUAUGUGAACAUCAGAUCUUGCAGGAUUAGCUCCAGUCAGAGCCAGUGUCAUUACAGAGGAUACGUCUGGAAAAGGUCACAAAACUCAAACAGAAGAACUGUCAACCGGAACCAGUAUUAUCUGGAUAUAACUGUAUCCAGUAUUACAUUAAAGAUGAACUUUGCUGUUCUGCCACAGUCCCUCACCCAAUGCGUGUGCUUUUCUCCUGAUUAUUGCUCAUCCAUUUGGCAAUAUGAGACUCCGUUGCUCUUUAUUCCUGAGUUAGGAAACGCCCUGGUGGCACUCCUACGUGGUCAAUAAAUGAGUUACCACCAGUGGCAUUUAAUUAUUUACAGCUACGCACAAAACAGGUUUCAACAAUACAGCCGUGAUUCUGGAUGGAAGGUAAAGCUUUUCCUUAGGAAAUUACUCAUCCCAGCAGGGUGGGAGUGGACGUUUUUCACUGAUACCAGCCCUUCUGUUGCUGUUAGUCUUUUAACGGGUAAAGAAAGUCACAAAGUCUCUUCAGUGCCCCAUGGACAGUGUAUGUACCAAAAGGAGGUGUGGUUUUUUAACUGUGAAGGAUAACCACUACCACUAAAAAGUUAAUCACAAUGGCCUCAAUACAGUAUUUCACCUAAAUAACGGCACAAAGUGUGUUGCUGGAGAGAAGGCGACGCUCACAAGGUGAACAUUUGUACCAAGAACUGUUACAGACCUGAAAGUUAUAAUUGGAAAAAAAUUGCUAUCAAAUAACCUCGACAAGGAACCAUCAAAUAUCUGGGGAACCUCCUUGGCCAAAGCAAGAUGUAUUCAACUAGGACUAGAGCUGAAAGGCAAUCAACUAGGAAAACAACAUAGAACAUUUAAAGGACACAUGGUGCCACGUUUGUUGCUGUUUUACCAGAGAUGAUAAUGCUUCCUUCAAGCAGCAAUGGCUUGAGCUUCUUGAAAGGGCUACAGGAUCAAGUCAGGCAGCCUGCUUCUCAAUCUCAUUAAAAAGUAGUAGUAAAGCCUGAGGUCCAUGGAGUACCACAUGUGGAUGUGGACCCUGGGCGGAGUCACACUAGGCAUUCUCCAGUGCAUGGGAUAGUCUGCAAAGAGAGUAAUUUACGUUGUCAAAACCAACUUCAUCUUUGCUAAGUCAUUGGAACUAACUGAAUAGCCUUAAAUUUAAAGAAGAAAAAUUCCAGGUGAAAAAUAAUCCUCAAUGCCAGGGAUAGGGAAGGCUGGUUCAGGAUACAUGAGAACAAACCAGCAGAGAACCCUUGAGCGGUUGUGCUGAUUAUUCAUUGAGCUGUGACUUGUGACUUAGACUUAGGGCAGGGAAGCCCUGCUGUAACCUACUGGCUGCACGUCCAAGCAUGAGGCACAGGGCCAUAGUAUGUGGCCAUUAAAUGCUUCCCAAAGAUGCCACACGUCCCUUUUCAGCCGAGCAGCUGGACAUCAACAGUUUUGUGCACACUGCUACUACUCCCAGACUUCGUAACCAAUGCCAAAAUUCAGUACCAGUUAUACAACAUACUGACAAGCUGUACCAGGCUGGAACCAGAAUACCACCUUCAAAUCUAUGAUAACAUCCCUCACCUAGCAAAUUUUUCCUGAAAUAUUCUGUAUUUUUCCUAAAAAGAAAAGAAAAACCACGUCUGCAUGUCCAUGCUUAAACUUUUUUCCUAAAACACUUCCAAAAAGAUGAAGAUUUUAGUCAAAGAUCAAGUAGCACCUGUGUUCCAUACCCUUCAUUCAGAAGCUUCUUGCUUCCACAGUAGGAACAGAACUGUAUCUACCUUUUUUAAAAAGCAAACCUAGAAAGGCAGCCCUCACUAACUUCAGCAAGAUCACUAGUUUUGGAAUAAAGGACACAAUUUGUCAGAGUAUUCAAAAUGGAACCUGCAAAAUCAGCAAAUACUUGCAUUCAAGGGCUUAACUCUUGCCUAACUAGAAAAAAAAAUAAUCUGCAGAGUGAAGGUUUUGAUUUUUUUUUUCCUUUAAAUUAAAGCAUUACUGUUUUCUAGAGAGAAAAUAUUUCGUAAAAUAAAGUGGCACUCCUCCAAGAGGCUUUUAUGGGUCUGGCCUGAUUUUUAAUGUCAAACUAGAACAUGUCACAAUCACAGACCGUCAAUCUAAAAACUAACAUAUCCCCUUCUCCAACAACUUUACAAGGUUUCCACAAAACAUCAGAUAAGUCACUUUAUAUAUAACAUCUGCAUACAGCUGUUAGGUGAAAUCAGUUCUGCCAGUCACCUCCUUCCUAAAAGUGUAUUUACAAUCACAAAGGGUGCAGUUAAAGAACACACUUACCCAGCACUAUGGAUCAUUGUGAUUGAUCAGAAGCAAAAGCACUUAAUUGCUGGAAUACUCACCAGAUCACAAAACAAAUCUCUAAGCACCACAGGUUUAAGACAAGGUGCAGUACUAUCAAAACCAAGCAGUUCUUAUGAUAAAUCAACUAGGUUUAUGCAGUUAUUUCAGAUACUCCUCAUGAGAUCAGGAAAAACCAGCAAAAUAGCAGACACUCAGUUGUUAGACCUAGUGAUUUUUGGCUUUGUGUGUUCUCCAUUAGCAUGUAUUUUACAGGUACUUUAACAUUUUAUCAUUUUUAAGCUUUGAAACUUUUGUUAAAACAUUAAGUUUCAACUGCAAUAAUUUCUAAAGUUAAUGAAAUGCUUGAUUAAAAUACAAACCUAUCUUAAAAUUUUUUAUAAGUUCAAUUUAGCAAAAGGAAUGCAAAGCUAAAUCCUUACCUAUGUUUGCUGACAAAAGCCCAAACCUGAAGUUGCAGUAGUUUUGUUAGACCAGAAUGUGUUUAAUGACUGAAACUGUACGUGAACAAAACACAGCUGAGGAACAGCUACAUAGCUUUCAAGUUUUAGAUUAUGGUGAGUUGAUGCAAUCAAGGUAAUUGAGAAGACACACUAAAGAAAUCGCCUGCAAACUGAUUUAUGCAUUUCAAAUUCUCCACCCUCUCCCAGAGCAGUGCCUUUCUGCAAGAGGUUACAGCAGAAGCUGGACCUUUGUAAUCCAGAUACUCGCUAUAAUCGAGGAUGAGCAGGAAUGCCUGCAGUGAAGGCUCCAAAUCAGAAGUGACAAUCUGCCGGAGCAGGGAAAGUUAUUCCUUUAAUAACAGCUUUCCGUUCCAAAGUAAGAGAAAAGUGAUGAGCCCAGUGUCACACUCUGAACAUCCUACUUCCUGUUUCUACACCAGGGGCUUCAUAGAAUAUCCAUCAUCUAAAUGGGACUCCCACUUAUAAAAGCUGUCUAUGUUCACAGGGACAGGAUUUUCACCCCAGUUCCAUGUUCAGCAACUGCCUCAUGAGAAUCGUAUCAAUCACCAAAAGAAAUCCCCAAGAGCCCUGAAACAAAUUUGCUAUCGCUAAGGGCUCUAGUGAAAGAUCAGAAACAACGGGGCUAUGAAAGCAAAAAGGCUGUAUUUUUGAAAUGUUUCCUACUACAUAGAAGAACAAAUGCAGGAUGUGAUGUUUGCUUAGUUUUAUUAAUUUAUUUUUGCAGGAAUCUGCAACUCGGAGUAUGCACUUUCUGGAGGUACCAUGCAUGCAUAGCCUCUGAAUGCUUUUAUACAAUUUCAUCUCUUAGUAAUAAGUUCAUUCACAGCAUACACAAAUCUAGAAUGUAGACACCAUAUAUACAGGAUUAAACGAGAUCGUGUCUUUUUUUUUUUAAUGAAAAAAUUUAACAGGGUUUCACAUAGCAGGAAAUAUGGAUUAGAUACACUGGUGUCACCAUAAAUAAAUAAGUUUCAAGAACACAGGUUUUUUUCAAAAUUGGUUUCAAAGGUACUGAAAAUCCAGGAUUAUAAUAUUGCAUUAACUCCACUGAUUUCUGAUUAUUCAAACCCAAGAAAAAUAUUUGCAUUAAUAUUGAUGGACAUAAACAGCAGUGAAAGCCCCAAACUGAAGAAGUCUGGCAGAAUUCAGUCAUGUCUAGCUUCAUAUAAUAUUGACGUUUUGAAACGAAACAAAUGCAGCAGCACAUAGAGACAGUACUGACUAUGAGAUGUGACAUCUGUGCACGUCAUCUUUCUUUACGGGAUUUAGAGUCACUGUAGUACAGAGCAUGUAAAUUCUGUGGUACCAAACAAGCUGAUGAAUUGUUUAUGUCCAACUGUCCACUUCUCAUCAGGAUAGUCAUUUUCACAUUCUAGGGUAUACCACUGAAUUUUAAAACUAAAACUAUCAUCCUGAUGACAAGCUUGUUUUCAACUUAUUUAAUAUUCUCACAUUCUUUUUUAAAACAUUCUUUAUUGGUUUUGUUUUGUCCCCAUUUCAACUCAAGUAUUUUUAUUUCAGUUUCAAGGGGUUUUACAAUCAAUAUUAAAUGUAAAAGUACUUAGAAAUUGAAAUGAGAGAUGUAUAACUGGGAUAAAGUAACUGAAAGAAAAGUUGUUGGUUUUUUAAAAUGUGAUUUAGUAGCAUAUCAUAAUCAGAAAGUACUGAGACCAGCUCUUUUAAGAAUUAUUACACCUUUUCACCACACUUCCCAUUUUUCAAGGGAAACACACACAUACCACAGACACACAGAUACACAAUUCAAUCUGAUCUAAGACUACAUUUUACAAAGGACUUCCUUUUGCUUGACUUCCCACCCCUUUCCUCCUCUUCACCCAUAAAAAGACUAACAAUUACAUCAAAUUAAAAGCAGAUCCAAAGUUCAGGAUUUCUUUUGGUUUACUAUAUUCUGAAUCAUUUUCCACAAGCCCCACUCUAAAUAAACUUUUAAAGAACUACAGUAGUAUUCUAUAAUUAAAAGGGAACUAUUCUUAAUAGCACAGUAAAUAUAAAAUAAGCUUUAUAAAAUUUCCAGGAACAGUGAAAUCAUUUUGAAUAUCUGAAUGUCCAAGUCAGUUACAAACUCUAUCAAUCUAGUAGCAUGGUUGAGGGAAAGCUCAGUCAUUAAGGAAAAAAAGAAAACACAAGUAGUGCAUUAACUCAACACAAUGGCAUCGGCAUCCCACCAUUCACACACACACACACACACACACACAUUUUAUACAAUACAGUGCAUUUCGUAUGCCAGCUGACAUUAGGGUUUUAUGUGCAUUCAAUAAAUAUUAUAUAAACCAAUCUUUUUGGUAUAAUCUACAAUUCAGUUGGGGUGUGUACGGCGCCACUGGCUUUCAGAAGGAAAAUGGAUCUUCUGAUAUUCAAAAUACAAUUUACAUUCUAAUAAACUAGAAAUAUUCAAGCACCAUGUUAAGUCUUUACUAUUAAUGUUUGAGGAUGGGCAUUUACAAGUAAAAGAAUACAAUGGAAGGAUUCGUUGGGGUUUUUUGUACAAGCAACAAAUGAGAGCAAUUGAAAAACUGGAGUAAAAUUAUUGGUAUGAAGGAAUUAAUUUGAAAUUUAACUGCACUCACUCAGUCUUCCAAAAAGUAUCUUGCUGUCAUGGCAGCCUUCCUUCUCUUCCUCUGGUGAAACUACAACUAAGAUACCCCAAGUCUCCAUUUAUGGUUAUUACAGUUCAGGGAAUUAUUGGACUGCAUGUAUUCCUCCCCUACCCCCCUUCAAAAGUAGCAUUUAUUCUGUCUGAAAAUGGCACGACUGUACUGAUGCAUGACACACCUAUUCUCAUUUGCUGUCAUUUCUGUUGCUAUCAUUUCGUGUUUCCAGCAAAAACAAAUGCUUCUAGAACUUCAGCAGAAGUACAAAUGAACAGAAAAUUGAAAUAAUACAAAGGCAAAGGCAUCACAAUAGAAAAGUCAUGAAGUUACUGGUAUUGUUUUGAGUAAUUCAUUAUACAGCUGAUAACAGCAAUGGCACUGCUUAUCCUAGGUGUAAUGCUUCUGCUCAUCUGUUUUCUAUUUAUCUCAGUUUUGUCAGUCUGUCCACCUACAUGACCAAAAUUAAUAUUUGCUUUCUAACUUCAGUUGACACUGAUUUUUUUUACCCCUUUCCACACGUGACGAGCUCCCCACAUAGUAAUAUAAAUCAUUAAGGAAGGAAGGAAAACUAGCUCUGAUGCCUUUGACUUUGUUUUGCUCAUCAGUGGUGCACAUUGAUUGCUGGAGUUCUCUUAGCUUAUUUAAGAUUAUGCUGAAGAUUUAAUUAGUGCAAGAACAUAUUGAAAACAUGCUAGAUUAAAAUAUUGGUUCCUCAUCUAAGAUCACAGUUUGGUUUUCACUGUUAUCGUUAUAAAUUGCAGGGAGAGAAGACACCAGAUUGAGUGGUGCAGUCAAGAUGAGCUUUCCUCCACCCACCCCUUACAACAGCUGCUUUAUUUUAAAAAAGGAUUCAGACACAUGAUUGUUCUACCACAGCUUAACACGUUAUCACACAUCAAGAGAAUUGUGAUAACUGACCAUAUGGAUGUGGCUGCCACGAGCUAAGAACAAUUUAAAAUGAAGUAGUCUUCUGCUAAAUUUUAGCCAGCACAUUUUGCCUCACAGUUGCAAAGUCAAUUACCAUGAUUCAGCUGACGUGCUUGGUUGCAUCUGUUGACAAAGAAUCAGAUGCAAAAACCUCAAAUGCACUGUACCAGCUUCUCACCAGUACACAAGAACAUUCUACUCAGUCGCACAGUUGUGUAACAUAAUCAUUCAGCUGCCCAAACCCAAGUUCGAUUUCACAAGUAUUGAGUGCUUUAUUACAGCAACCUGAAGCAUUCAAACAAAUUGAACAUCACUUUUAUAAUACAGUAUAUUGUAUGCAUGAAAGUACCAGUGUGAUUUUCAGUUGCAAGUCUUGUGUUCUUCAACCUACAGCAAGUAUUUCCUGACCAAAAUAAAAAGAAUGCGGUGUGUAAUUUUUCAGGAUCUGGCAUCUGCUAUUUUUUACAGGCUGGUUUAUUAACAAUGUGCAAAUAAACCUUUACUGAAGAGCUAAUUGAUUAAUUAUUUUUCAGCUAACUUUGAAGUGGGGCACAAAGUACCUUCUGUGCUGUAAACAUCAUGAAUUCUUCACAAAUUGGAAGCUGAAAAGGCCUAAGGAACUGGGUAAAACUCUUCUCAUACACAACCAUGGCUGAGCUCAAGUCUUCCAAACUGAAUUUGGAGUAGUCUGUGUUUGGCAUAUGUAGCUGUGCUGCUACACAGCACAGGCUUAGAAGAUUGUUGUAUAUAAAAGCAUACUUUUAGCUUUGAAACACAAUGGCCUAAUGAAAGCAUGCAGCAGUAUUUUUGUCCGUAAUAUGGUAGAAUUCAUUCUUAGUUUAUUACCAGUGUUGACACAGCCAGGUGAGCACUGUACAAGCAAAAGGGAUUGUAAAAAAUUACCUCUGAUUAAACUCUCUGUAACACUCAUACGGUAUCUCAUUUAGUCACCUUAGGUUACUAUUUCAAACAGCAAUUUUUUUUGUAGACAUAAGUUACCCUGAAAAAAAGCAGCAAUUACAAAUACCCUUCUCCUUGGUUUUUAUACAUUGUAAAAUUUAGCAUUGCAUUUACCUGUCUCCUUUUUUCAGUAGCUUACAAUCUAGAAGCACAGGGAGCCUUUGUUUUCCAGCUAGCUGUGGCCAGGUUAAGUCAGCUCUGGCUCUUCAGUUUCUGGUUAAGUGUAACGUUUCACACCAUUACUAAGAAUCCUAUAAUUUUUCAUAUAUAUAUAAAAAAAAAAAG